rnacentral:rRNA from 1 species
CACAGCGAGCUUUGGGUGAAUGCCUUGGCAAAGCAAAGCAGAGACGUCACACAUGACGAAACGCUAUGGGGAGGCUUGUAAUCCCUGUGAUCCAUGGCUCUCUCGUCGGGAAACCUUAUAAGUAGAAACCUAGCGAAUUGAAACAUCUUAGUAGCUAGAGGAGAUUCAAUCAACCGAGACCCCGCCAGUAGCGGUGAGCGAAAGCGGGAGGGGCCUACUCUCCCCGCCUACCAAAGGCUAGUUUGCCUCCUCUACAGAAGCAGAGAACCGCCUGUUUGGUUUUGUUCGGUGCCGGAGAUAGCAUUGAAAUGAGGAGUGGAAUCCCAUGCCGAAGAGGGUGACAGCCCCGUAGAUGAUUGCGACACCGAUCAAGGGGAGAGAUGAGUAGGGUGAGACCAUUGGCUUGCCUGAACAGGGGGGUACCACCCUCUAAGCCUAAGUAUGAUGCUUUGACCGAUAGUGAACCAGUACCGUGAGGGAAAGGCGAAAGAGCACCCCAGAUGGGGAGUGAAAGAGAGACUGAAACCCACCGCUUUACAAGCAGUUGAAGCUCGCCUAACACCUCCCCCCAAUGGGGGAGAAGAUGCCAUGCCUCAACAGUGAUGCAUGGAGGGGGGGUGAGAUGGUGAGUGCCGGCCUACCUUUUGCAUAAUGGGUCAGCGAGUAAGCUGGAUGCAGCAAGCUUAAGCCGAUAGGUGUAGGCAUAGCGAAAGCGAGUCCUCAAGGGGCAUUUCAGUUGCAUCGGCUUAACCCGAAACCGGGUGAUCUAGCCAUGAGCAGGUUGAAAGGAGGGUAACACCUCUUGGAGGGCCGAACCCGUGCCUGUAGCAAUAGGCAGGGAUGACUUGUGGUUAGGGGUGAAAAGCCAAUCGAACCCGGAGAUAGCUGGUUUUCUGCGAAAUCCAUUGAGGUGAAGCGCAAAAUAGACUCAGCCGGUUGGGAUAGCAUCCCUUUGGUAGACCAAGUCAUCACACCACACCAUCAAGGAUGCAGAGGAGAUUGCGGGGCUUAAACCAGCCUACCCAUCUCCAGAUGGUGAAGAAGACGAUGACCUUGAUGUCGCUUUAAGAAGGAAUGCUCCCGCGACGGCGUGAUGAGACCGUCUGAGGGGGUAGAGCACUCGAUGGGAAAGGGUGGCCCAAAGCCUGACCGAUUCCAAGGAAACUCCGAAUACCUUAGACGAUUCUUUUGCAGACAGAUCUUGGGUGCAAAGGCCCAAGAUCGAGAGGGAAAAAGCCCAGAUCGUCCGCUAAGGUCUCCAAGAGACAACUCAGUGGGAAAAGGCGUACCUAAGCCGAGACAACCAGGAGGUGGGCUUAGAAGCAGCCAUCCUUUGAAGAAAGCGUAAAAGCUCACUGGUCUAGCUUGGAUGCACUGAAGAUGUCACGAGGCUCAAGUUGUCCACCGAAGCGACGGCCUCUACCAUCGACCUAGAAGCCCCAUUGGGCAGCUGGGUCGUGCCGGUAUCACUUAGUGAUGCACCGGCAAGCCUGCGGGCGGAGAGGGGUAGCAGAACGUCCUGUAGAUCAUUGAAGGCGAUCCGAUAGGGUUGCAGGAGGUAUCAGGAGUGAGAAUGCUGACAUGAGUAACGAGAAAUUGUGUGAGAUUCACAAUCGUCGAAAGUCCUAGGCUUCCUACAGAUGUAAAUCGAUGUAGGGUGAAUCGGCCCCUAAGGAUGCAGCGAGAGCUUCCUCUGAUGGGCAUCGUCACAGGUGACUAGGCCGAGACCAAUUUGGUCAAGGGGACACGAUGUGAUCGCUCUGCUGGUUCGGGCAGUAGACCAUCGGAGAGGUCUGGGGACCCACCCCAUAGAAGCCUGGCAUCACCAAGUGAUGCCAGGCUGGUAUGCCCUCGUCCCAAAGGGACGAGGCGGUAAACCCCAUCGCGCUGCGAUGGGAGGUCACCUAGAAUCUAGUCUCUCCCCCUAUGACAUGGAGAGGGCAUGAAACGCUUUCUUGCUUAACAAGAGGGCGUGAUCGGAUGUUGAACUCUCCAUUCACGGCCUACAGGAAACAACCUGUGAUGGGCAAGACCGUACCUAAACCGACACUGGUGGACUGGUUGAACAAACUCAGACGAUAGGGAGAACCAUGCUGAAGGAACUCGGCAAAUUGACUCCGUAACUUCGGGAAAAGGAGGGCCUCCUUGGAAACAAAGCAGGGAGGUGGCACAGAAGAGGGGGUGGCGACUGUUUAUUAAAAACACAGGACUCAGCAAAAUAGCAACAUCAAGUAUUGGGUCUGACGCCUGCCCGGUGCUGGUAGCUUAAGGGGAGGGGUGGCAUUGGGGAGAGAGAAAGACAAGGGCUGCCUUGCCUUCCUUUCCUCCCGGAGAAAGCUCCCAACCAAAGGUCCAGUAAACGGCGGCCGUAACUCUGACGGUCCUAAGGUAGCGAAAUUCCUUGUCGGGUAAGUUCCGACCCGCAUGAAUGGCGUCACGACUGCCCCGCUGUCUCCAGCAUGGGCCCAGUGAAAUUGAAAUCUCCGUGCAGAUGCGGAGUCCCCAAAGGAAGACGGUAAGACCCUAUGCACCUUUACUACAACUUGUCGUGGAGGGGUGAGAUGGAUUGUGUAGAAUAGGUGGGAGCCUGUUCUUGAUACCCCCCACCCACCCUUCCCUAGGGAAGGGUGGGUGGGGGUUAGUGUUGGGGCAGGCAUCAGUGAAAUACCACCCCUUGCUUCUCACCAGUCUAAUCCAGAGGAAAUAGGGAGACAUCGACAAGCAGGUAGUUUCAUUGGGGCGAUGGCUUUCUAAAGAGUAACGAAAGUGUGCGAAGGUAGACUCAGGUUGGUCGGAAACCAACUGAAGAGCGUAAUGGUAGAAGUCUGCCUGACUGCAAGACCUACAAGUCGAGCAGGGACGAGAGUCGGCCAUAAUGACCCGGGAGCACCGCGUGGAAGGGCUCUCGCUCAACGGAUCAAAGGUACGCUAGGGAUAACAGGCUAAUGACUCCCAAGAGCCCAUAUCGACGGAGUCGUUUGGCACCUCGAUGUCGACUAGGUCCCAAGGGUUCGGCUGUUCGCCGAUGAAAGCGGUACGUGAGUUGGGUUUAGUGCGCCGAGAGGCAGUACGGUUCCUAUCUCCUUUGGGUGGCAAUGCCACCUGUGGAGGCGGAUGCCUCCAUCGGUGGUUGAAACUGAGAGAAGCAUUCCCUUGUACGAGAGGACCGGGAAUGACCAACCUCUGGUCUACCAGCUGUUGCGCCAGCAGCAUGGCUGGGCGGCUACGUUCUCAUUGAAUAACUGCUGAAGGCCUAUCAAGCAGGAAGUCAUGUCUCGAUACAAGUUUCUAAUGGCGUAGAAGAAGACUACGGAAUAGGCGGGGGGUGGAGGCGCAGCAAUGUGUGAGCUUGCCCGUACUAACUGGCGGAAUAGCGGUCUAUUUCCUAAUCAAUCAAUUCCCUACUUAAUCAAUACCAAUGGAGAGGGGGUUCCCUUCUCUA